GCGGCGGACGGGUGAGUAACACGUGGGUAACCUGCCUGUAAGACGGGGAUAACUCCGGGAAACCGGAGCUAAUACCGGAUGAUAACGAGAAGCGCCUGCUUCUUUUUUGAAAGUCGGUUUCGGCUGACGCUUACAGAUGGGCCCGCGGCGCAUUAGCUAGUUGGUGAGGUAACGGCUCACCAAGGCGACGAUGCGUAGCCGACCUGAGAGGGUGAUCGGCCACACUGGGACUGAGACACGGCCCAGACUCCUACGGGAGGCAGCAGUAGGGAAUCUUCGGCAAUGGACGAAAGUCUGACCGAGCAACGCCGCGUGAGCGAUGAAGGCCUUCGGGUCGUAAAGCUCUGUUGUCAGAGAAGAACAAGUACCGGAGUAACUGCCGGUACCUUGACGGUACCUGACCAGAAAGCCACGGCUAACUACGUGCCAGCAGCCGCGGUAAUACGUAGGUGGCAAGCGUUAUCCGGAAUUAUUGGGCGUAAAGCGCGCGCAGGCGGUUUCUUAAGUCUGAUGUGAAAGCCCACGGCUCAACCGUGGAGGGUCAUUGGAAACUGGGAGACUUGAGUGCAGGAGAGAAAAGUG
rnacentral:rRNA from 1 species